GCAUUAAUGGGGUAGUGGUAACCUGGGUCGUUGCCAUCCUUUGUGAUAUCGACCCGCCGGGGGUUCGAUUCCCCCUUAAUGCA
rfam:Termitomyces sp. J132 unplaced genomic scaffold scaffold366, whole genome shotgun sequence.